GAUGAACGCUGGCGGCGUGCCUAAUACAUGCAAGUCGAGCGAAUGGAUUAAGAGCUUGCUCUUAUGAAGUUAGCGGCGGACGGGUGAGUAACACGUGGGUAACUUGCCCAUAAGACUGGGAUAACUCCGGGAAACCGGGGCUAAUACCGGAUAACAUUUUGAACCGCAUGGUUCGAAAUUGAAAGGCGGCUUCGGCUGUCACUUAUGGAUGGACCCGCGUCGCAUUAGCUAGUUGGUGAGGUAACGGCUCACCAAGGCAACGAUGCGUAGCCGACCUGAGAGGGUGCUCGGCCACUCUGGGACUGAGACACGGCCCAGACUCCUACGGGAGGCAGCAGUAGGGAAUCUUCCGCAAUGGACGAAAGUCUGACGGAGCAACGCCGCGUGAGUGAUGAAGGCUUUCGGGUCGUAAAACUCUGUUGUUAGGGAAGAACAAGUGCUAGUUGAAUAAGCUGGCACCUUGACGGUACCUAACCAGAAAGCCACGGCUAACUACGUGCCAGCCGCCGCGGUAA
rnacentral:rRNA from 1 species